UACGAAGGGGGCUAGCGUUGCUCGGAAUUACUGGGCGUAAAGCGCACGUAGGCGGUCUUUUAAGUCGGUGGUGAAAUCCUGGAGCUCAACUCCAGAACUGCCUUCGAUACUGGAAGACUUGAGUCCGGGAGAGGUGAGUGGAACUGCGAGUGUAGAGGUGAAAUUCGUAGAUAUUCGCAAGAACACCAGUGGCGAAGGCGGCUCACUGGCCCGGUACUGACGCUGAGGUGCGAAAGCGCGGGGAGCAAACAGG
rnacentral:rRNA from 1 species